rnacentral:rRNA from 1 species
UGGAACUGCCAUUGAUACUGCCAUUCUUGAAUAUAGUUGAAGUGGGCGGAAUGUAACAUGUAGCGGUGAAAUGCAUAGAUAUGUUACAGAACACCAAUUGCGAAGGCAGCUCACUAAGCUAUUAUUGACGCUAAGGCACGAAGGCGUGGGUAGCGAACAGGAUUAGAUACCCUGGUAGUCCACGCCGUAAACGAUGAUUACUCGAUGUCGGCGAUAUACUGUCGGUGUCCAAGCGAAAGUGAUAAGUAAUCCACCUGGGGAGUACGAUCGCAAGGUUGAAACUCAAAGGAAUUGACGGGGGCCCGCACAAGCGGUGGAGCAUGUGGUUUAAUUCGAUGAUACGCGAGGAACCUUACCUGGGCUUAAAUGCAGUUUGACAGACUGGGAAACCAGUCCUUCUUCGGACAAAUUGCAAGGUGCUGCAUGGUUGUCGUCAGCUCGUGCUGUGAGGUGUCGGGUUAAGUCCCAUAACGAGCGCAACCCCUAUUCUUAGUUGCCAGCGGAUAAUGCCGGGGACUCUAAGAAAACUGCUCGCGCAAGCGGAGAGGAAGGUGGGGACGACGUCAAAUCAUCACGGCCCUUACGUCCAGGGCUACACACGUGCUACAAUGGUUGGUACAAAGGGCAGCUACCAGGUGACUGGACGCUAAUCCCUAAAGCCAAUCUCAGUUCGGAUUGGAGUCUGCAACUCGACCCCAUGAAGCUGGAAUCGCUAGUAAUCGCGCAUCAGCCAUGGCGCGGUGAAUACGUUCCCGGGCCUUGUACACACCGCCCGUCAAGCCAUGGAAGCUGGGGGUGCCUAAAGUCGGUAACCGUAAGGAGCCGCCUAGGGUAAAACUAGUAACUGGGGCUAAGUCGUAACAAGGUAAC